rnacentral:tRNA from 1 species
GAGUGUAUAGCUCAAUAGUAGAGCACGUGCUUAGUAUGCAUGAGGUCCUGGAUUCAGUCCCCAGUACCUCCA